UACGGGGGGAGCAAGCGUUGUUCGGAUUUACUGGGCGUAAAGGGCGCGUAGGCGGCCACCGCAAGUCGGUUGUGAAAUCUCGUGGGCUUAACCCAGAAAGGUCAACCGAUACUGCGGGGCUAGAGUGCAGAAGGGGCAACUGGAAUUCUCGGUGUAGCGGUGAAAUGCGUAGAUAUCGAGAGGAACACCUGCGGCGAAGGCGGGUUGCUGGGCUGACACGUGACGCUGGAGGCGCGAAAGCUAGGGGAGCAAACGGG
rnacentral:rRNA from 1 species